rnacentral:rRNA from 1 species
UGGGAAUCUUGGACAAUGGGCGAAAGCCUGAUCCAGCCAUGCCGCGUGAGUGAUGAAGGCCUUAGGGUUGUAAAGCUCUUUUGCCAGGGAAGAUAAUGACUGUACCUGGAGAAUAAGCCCCGGCUAACUUCGUGCCAGCAGCCGCGGUAAUACGAAGGGGGCUAGCGUUGUUCGGAAUUACUGGGCGUAAAGCGUGCGCAGGCGGUUUCUCAAGUCAGGGGUGAAAGCCCGGAGCUCAACUCCGGAAUUGCCCUUGAAACUGUGAAGCUAGAGUGCGGGAGAGGUGAGUGGAAUUCCCAGUGUAGAGGUGAAAUUCGUAGAUAUUGGGAAGAACACCGGUGGCGAAGGCGGCUCACUGGCCCGUUUCUGACGCUCAUGCACGACAGCGUGGGGAUCAAACAG